rnacentral:lncRNA from 1 species
GGGGCACACCAACGUUUAGAGAUUUGGAAGAGGAGAGCUGUCAGAGGACACUGAGAAGUGGCAGUGACGUUGGAAGAAAAUAAGAAUGCUGUGUUUCUGGAGUCAAGUUAAAACUCCAUUUUAAAGAUGGAGUGGUCACCUGUAUCAGAUGUCCCCAGGAGGCCAAGGAAGAUUAAAUGAAAUGAAGACACUGAGCUCUGCAAGUACACUGCUUUUUGAAUCCCAGAGGGGAUGAUGUAGCAAGAAGGACCUCACCAGAUGCUGGCACCUUGAUGUUAGACUUCCCAGUCUCCACAAUGUGAACUUGCUUGUCAAAUGCCUCUUUAAAAAGAAAGUGAAGAUAACUGCAAGUCAGCUGGAAGUGCUGCCAAGAUAUGACCUCCAGGAAGGCCCAGAAGACAAGUGAUAUUGUGUGGACUGCUACAGCGCAAUGUCUAACUGAUGCAAAAUGAAGAAUCAAUUUGAAAUUAAGAUGAGUAAAGGCAUCCAGCACUUACAGCAAAAAACAUUGUCAUCAGGCCCUGGGGAGAUGAGGACACCUCCCUUCCCUUCUCAGGCUCCCUUUCCCUGUCAGACUCUAGCUCUCAAAGGCUGUCAUCCUCCAAGGGUAUUCCCUACGUACUGCAUAGCAUCUCUGUUACCCUUUGAAUUCAACAGUAUUCAUCUCCUCCAACAUUCAUUCAUUCCUUUAGUCAAAAGUCAGUUGUCAAACACAAGGCACAAGUGCACAUUUAAGGAAUUCAUGGCCAAUAUUUGUCAUGUCAUUUCAUGAAUUGUCUGAGAAACAUAAAACAUACAAUGAGGAUACUGAUCCAAGAUACAUGGCACACAAUUAAAUUGCGAAAAACAUGACUCUGAGUCCAAAAGUUCUUAUUUUUUCACAGUCUUCAGAGUAUUGUAUAGACCCCUUGAAAAAUAAAUUUGCAGAGUGUGAAUGUUAAUUACUGUCACCUUCAGAAAAGAGAUUUUACACAUGUAUAAAAGAGAAAUAGUGACUAUUCUAGAUUAUAGAGCACAGAAAGAAUUCUCAAACUAGUAUAACCCUAUUUCUCUAUAUCACAAAGACAUCUUGUAGGCAUGUUCCUCUGAAGGACUUGAGAAUUAUGCUUUUUUUCCUCCUUGUCUCUCUAAAAGCAAAAAGCACAGUAAUCUCGCUGAAGUAUAAUCAAAACAGAGCCUGAUGUGAAACCAGAGCCUUGAGUUUUCAUCCUGCAUUUGUUACUUAAAAGCUGACAUAAGAAAAAUUAUUUAACUUCUCUUAACCUCAGUUUCUUAUCUAUAAAAUGGGAUUAUAAAAUGUAUCUCACAAGGUAGUUAUGAGGAUUAAAGGAAAUGAAAAAAUGCUUAUUUGGUUUUGAAUCCUGGUUUGGUCUAGCUAUCAAUAAA